GAUGAAGAACGUAGCGAAAUGCGAUACUUGGUGUGAAUUGCAGAAUCCCGUGAACCAUCGAGUCUUUGAACGCAAGUUGCGCCCGAAGCCGUCAGGCCGAGGGCACGCCUGCCUGGGCGUCACACGCCGUUGCCCCCCCGCGCCCCGCACCCAACGCUUUGGGAGCGACCGCGGGGCGGGCUGAUGAUGGCCUCCCGUGCGCUCCGCCGCGCGGUUGGCCCAAAUACCGAGUUCCCGGCGACGUGCGCCACGACGAUCGGUGGUUGAGAGACCUCUGUCGCAAGUCGUGCGCGCCCGUCGCGUCACGCGGGCUCGCAUAGCGCCUCGCGCCGCACCCGGUGCGGAGCUUUCAACGCGACCCCAGGUCAGGCGGGGUUACCCGCUGAAUUUAAGCAUAUCAAUAAGCGGAGGA
rnacentral:misc_RNA from 1 species